rnacentral:rRNA from 1 species
GCGUAUCACUCCUACGGGAGGCAGGCAAGUUGAGGAAUAUUGGACGAAUGGGGGCAACCCUGAUCCAGCCAUGCCGCGUGCAGGAAGACUGCCCUAUGGGUUGUAAACUGCUUUUGUACAGGAAGAAACAUUCCCUCGUGAGGGAGCUUGACGGUACUGUAAGAAUAAGGAUCGGCUAACUCCGUGCCAGCAGCCGCGGUAAUACGGAGGAUCCAAGCGUUAUCCGGAAUCAUUGGGUUUAAAGGGUCCGUAGGUGGACGAUUAAGUCAGGGGUGAAAGUCUGCAGCUCAACUGUAGAAUUGCCUUUGAUACUGGUUGUCUUGAAUUAUUGUGAAGUGGUUAGAAUAUGUAGUGUAGCGGUGAAAUGCAUAGAUAUUACAUAGAAUACCAAUUGCGAAGGCAGAUCACUAACAAUAUAUUGACACUGAUGGGACAGAAGCGUGGGGAGCAAACAGGAUUAGAUACCCUGGUAG